UACGGGGGGGGCAAGCGUUGUUCGGAAUUACUGGGCGUAAAGGGCUCGUAGGCGGCCAACUAAGUCAGACGUGAAAUCCCUCGGCUUAACCGGGGAACUGCGUCUGAUACUGGAUGGCUUGAAUCCGGGAGAGGGAUGCGGAAUUCCAGGUGUAGCGGUGAAAUGCGUAGAUAUCUGGAGGAACACCGGUGGCGAAGGCGGCAUCCUGGACCGGCAUUGACGCUGAGGCGCGAAAGCGUGGGGAGCAAACAGG
rnacentral:rRNA from 1 species